UAGUGAUUUGCACGGAUUUUC
rnacentral:piRNA from 1 species